rnacentral:rRNA from 1 species
CCUACGGGAGGCAGCAGUGAGGAAUAUUGGUCAAUGGACGAGAGUCUGAACCAGCCAAGUAGCGUGAAGGAUGACUGCCCUAUGGGUUGUAAACUUCUUUUAUAUGGGAAUAAAAUGUUCCACGUGUGGGAUUUUGUAUGUACCAUAUGAAUAAGGAUCGGCUAACUCCGUGCCAGCAGCCGCGGUAAUACGGAGGAUCCGAGCGUUAUCCGGAUUUAUUGGGUUUAGAGGGAGCGUAGGUGGAUUGGUAAGUCAGUUGUGAAAGUUUGCGGCUCAACCGUAAAAUUGCAGUUGAAACUGGCAGUCUUGAGUACAGUAGAGGGGGGCGGAAUUCGUGGUGUAGCGGUGAAAUGCGUAGAUAUCAGGAGGAACUCCGGUGGCGAAGGCGGUCCACUGGACUGCGACUGACGCUGAGGCUCGAAAGUGUGGGGAGCAAACAGGAUUAGAUACCCCGGUAGUC